ACAGGGUCAUGUUUUAUGCACAUUAAAAUUCAGCAAAAUGAUCCCAGGUCUCACCUUAAGAAUAAAACUUGAAACUAUCAACACUUGAAAACAUUUUUGCCAGGACGUCGUUCAUUUUGGAUCCAGGUUGGUGACUCUGUGCUUAGAUUGCACAUCUGUAAUAUCACAUCCUGCAGCAAAGACACCAUCGAGGCCCCCAGCCUGAAAAUUGCUCCAGGAAAACCCACCACUCUAGCGUGAAGGCUGAUGCAGCAAACACAAGCAAAUUCCACUGAGAAUUUUUUUUUUUUUUUGAGAAAGUCACGGUCUCUUACCCAGGCUAUAGUGCAGUGGCG
rnacentral:lncRNA from 1 species